UGAACCAGAUCCCGAUCCCGAUCCAGAUCCAGAUCCAGAUCCAGAUCCAGGUCUGCCUGAUCCCGAUCCCGGUUUGCCCGAUCCAGAUCCAGAUCCCGGUUUGCCCGAUCCAGAUCCAGAUCCGGGUCUUCCCGAUCCUGAUCCAAUUCCCCCUUGGGAUCCAGGCCGGCCUGACCCGGAUCCGUAGGAUCCUGAGCUGGAUCCCCCAUAGGAUCCCGAAUUUCCGUAGGAUCCUAAAUUCCCAGAGGAUCCUGACCCUCCAUAGGAUCCCGAAUUCCCGGAGGAUCCCGAUCCUCCGUAAGAUCCCGAAUUCCCGGAGGAUCCGGAGCCUCCUCCAUAGGAUCCCGAAUUCCCGUAGGAUCCCGAAUUUCCAUAAGAUCCCAAAUUCCCGGCGGAUCCCGAUCCUCCGUAGGAUCCCGAAGUCCCGGCGGAUCCCGAAUUUCCAUAGGAUCCCGAAUUUCCAUAAGAUCCCGAAUUCCCGUAGGAUCCCGAAUUCCCGGCAGAUCCCGAGUUCCCGCAGGCUCCGGAUCCCAGCUGGGGGCUGAGGAAUCCCAGGGGAUCCUUGCAGGGAUCGACCCCGGCCGGGAGCGGAUCCGGAGCGGGGCCGGAGCCGGAGCCGGAGCCUGGGGGGGAGGAGCCCAGUUCAGACCAGUUUGGGCCAGUUUGGACCAGUUCAUACCAGUUCAUCCCAGUUCAUCCCAGUCCAUCCCAGUCCAUCCCAGUUCCUGUCCCAGUCCAUCUCAGUCCAUCCCAGUUCAUCCCAGUUCAUCCCAGUUCAUCCCAGUUCAUCCCAGUCCAUCCCAGUUCAAUCCCAGUCCAUCCCAGUUCAAUCCCAGUCCAUCCCAGUCCAUCCCAGUUCAUCCCAGUCCAUCCCAGUUCAAUCCCAGUUCCAUCCCAGUCCAUCCCAGUCCUUCCCAGUUCAAACCAGUCCAUCCCAGUUCAUCCCAGUCCAUCCCAGUUCAAUCCCAGUCCAUCCCAGUCCAUCCCAGUCCCUCCCAGUUCAAUCCCAGUCCAUCCCAGUUCAAUCCCAGUCCAUCCCAGUCCAUCCCAGUUCAUCCCAGUUCAAUCCCAGUCCAUCCCAGUUCAUCCCAGUCCAUCCCAAUUCAAUCCCAGUUCAAUCCCAGUUCAAUCCCAGUUCAUCCCAGUUCAUCCCAGUCCAUCCCAGUUCAUCCCAGCCCAUCCCAGUCCAUCCCAGUUUCCCAGUCCAUCCCAGUUCCCUCCCAGUUUCCCCAGUCCCACCUGGGGCUGGUGUUGGCCGAAGGGUGGAAGGAGGCGAACAUCCGGAUGGGGGGGCUGGGGGAGGGGACCCCAAAAAUCACCCAAAAACAACCAAAAAUCAUCACCCCAAAAAACACCCAAAAAUCAACCAAAAAUCACCCCAAAAUCCACCCAAAACCACCCAAAUUCACCCCAAAAAUCACCCAAAAACAACCAAAAAAUCACCCCAAAAUCACCCAAAAACAACCAAAAAUCCACCCCAAAAAUCACCAAAAAAUCACCCCAAAAAUCAUCCAAAAUCACCCCAAACCACCCAAAUUCACCCAAAAAAUCACCUAAAAUCACCCAAAAAUCACCCAAAUUCACCCAAAAAUCACCCAAAAACAACCAAAAAUCACCCCAAAAUCACCCAAAAACAACCAAAAAUCCACCCCAAAAUCACCAAAAAAUCACCAAAAAAUCACCCCAAAAAUCAUCCAAAAUCCACCCAAAAAUACCCAAAAAUCCACCCAAACAUCAUCCAAAAAGACUCUAAAACACCCAAAAAUCACCCCAAAAAAUCACCCAAAUUCACCCAAAAUCACCCCAAAAUCACCAAAAAAAUACCCAAAAUUCACUCAAAAUCCACCCAAAAAUCCCCCAAAAUCACCCAUAAAUCCAUCCCAAAAUCACCCAAAAAUCACCCCAAAAACACCCAAAUUCACCCCAAAAAUCACCUAAAAAUCACCCAAAAAUCACCCAAAAUCACCCAAAAAUCACCCAAAAAUCACCCAAAAAACAUCCAAAUUCACAAAAAAAAUCAUCCCAAAAAUCACCCAAAAUCACCCCAAAAAUACCCAAAAUUCACUCAAAAUCCACCCAAAAAUCAUCACCCAAAACCCACCUAAAAUCACCCCAAAAAUCACCCAAAUUCACCCCAAAUCACUCAAAACCACCCAAAAAUCACCCCAAAAAAAUCACCAAAAAUCACUGAAAAAUCCACCCGAACCCGCCCAAAUCCACCCAAAAAUCAUCACCCAAAAAACCCCAAAAAUCACCCAAAAUUCACUCAAAAUCACCCAAAAUCACCCGAAUUCACCCCAAAAAUCAUCACCCCAAACCACCCCGAUUCACCCCAAAAAUCACCCCAAAAACAUCCCAAAACACCCAAAUUCACGCAAAAACAGCCCAAAACACCCCAAAUUCAUCAUCAAAAAACACCAAAAAAUCAAAAACACCCGAAAAUCACCCAAAAAAUCACCCAAAAUUCAUUCAAAAUCCAGUCAAAAAUUAUCACCCAAAAUCACCCAAAAAUCACCCAAAACCACCCCAAAAAUCACCCAAAAUCACCCAAAAAUCAUCACCCAGAAAUCACUCAAAAACACACAAAUAUCAGCCAAAAAUCACCCAAAAUCCCCAAAAAUCAUCACCCAAAAAACCCAAAAAUCACCCAAAACCACCCAAAAAUCAUCACCUCAGAAUCACCCGAAAAUUCACACAAAAUUCAGCCCAAAAUCGCCCAAAAUCCACUUAAAAAUUCCCCAAAAAGCCCCAAAUCCACCCAAAAAUUCCCCCUAAAAAACUUCAAAAUUCCCUCCAAAAUCGCCCCAAAAUCCACCCAAAUCCCCCUGAAAUUCCCCAAAUUUCUGCAAAACCU
ensembl:lncRNA